rnacentral:rRNA from 1 species
GAGAUAAACGCUGAAGGCAUCUAAGCGUGAAACUCCCCCUAAGAUAAGAUCUCCCAUCCAUUAGGAGUAAGGGUCGAAGAAGACUACUUCGUUGAUAGGCCAGCGGUGUAAGCACAGUGAUGUGUUCAGCCUACUGGUACUAAUAACCCGAGGGCUUGACCUACAGU